rnacentral:rRNA from 1 species
AGUGAACGCUGGCGGUAGGCCUAACACAUGCAAGUCGAACGGCAGCACAGUAAGAUCUUUCUAUUACGGGUGGCGAGUGGCGGACGGGUGAGGAAUACAUCUGAAUCUAUUAUUUCGUGGGGGAUAACGUAGGGAAACUUACACUAAUACCGCAUACCACCUACGGGUGAAAGCAGGGGAUCUUCGGACCUUGCGCGAUUGAAUGCGCCGAUGUCGGAUUAGCUAGUUGGCGGGGUAAAGGCCCACCAAGGCGACGAUCCGUAGCUGGUCUGAGAGGAUGAUCGGCCACACUGGAACUGAGACACGCUCCAGACUCCUACGGGAGGCCGCAGUUGGGAAUAUUGGACAAUGGGCGCAAGCCUGAUCCAUCCAUACCGCGUUGGUGAAGAAGGCCUUCGUGUUGUAAAGCCCUUUUGUUGGGAAAGAAAAGCAGCAGGUUAAUACCCCGCUGUUCUGACGGUACCCAAAGAAUAAGCACCGGCUAACUUCGUG